rnacentral:rRNA from 1 species
GACGAACGCUGGCGGCGUGCUUAACACAUGCAAGUCGUACGGAAAGGCCCUGCUUUUGUGGGGUGCUCGAGUGGCGAACGGGUGAGUAACACGUGAGUAACCUGCCCUUGACUUUGGGAUAACUUCAGGAAACUGGGGCUAAUACCGGAUAGGAGCUCCUGCUGCAUGGGGGGGGUUGGAAAGUUUCGGCGGUUGGGGAUGGACUCGCGGCUUAUCAGCUUGUUGGUGGGGUAGUGGCUUACCAAGGCUUUGACGGGUAGCCGGCCUGAGAGGGUGACCGGCCACAUUGGGACUGAGGUACGGCCCAGACGCCUACGGGAGGCAGCAGUGGGGAAUAUUGCACAAUGGGCGGAAGCCUGAUGCAGCAACGCCGCGUGCGGGAUGACGGCCUUCGGGUUGUAAACCGCUUUCGCCUGUGACGAAGCGUGAGUGACGGUAAUGGGUAAAGAAGCACCGGCUAACUACGUG